CAGGUCUUUGCUGCCCCCACCCCCACCCCCACCCCGGGGUUGCCACAGCUGGCCCGCGCACUGGGCUCGAGGGUUGCCCCGGCUCCUCUGGCGCCCAAACAAGGAGCUAGAGCGCGGGCAGCCGGCGCGGAGGCUGAGACUGGCAGGUUGCUGGAGCUGCUCUGCGCCUGCCCUCCACCCGGGGCCCCGGCGCGAGAGGCAGCCCCGCUCUCCCUCCCGGAGCGCUGUAGACAGAUAUGCAAGAUGGCAGAGGAGGGGGAAAUCCAAUAGAAAAGGGAUAUUGCACCUACUUGUGGCCAGUUUCCUUGCCCUGCCUUUGGAUCUCAUGCUGUGCCCAGUCCUGCAGCCGCUGGUCCGGGAACCUUGGGCAUUUGACAUCCAAGACCUUCUUUUUGCCUUCCCUGAGGUCGGCUGUCACCUUCCGGCCUCCCCCACCGCUGCCCCUGUCGCCUCCUGCUGCAGCUCAGCCUGUCUGCCAUUUCACUCAUUCGCUUAAACCCACGACCUCCCGGGUCAUAAGGAAGAGGAUUUACCAAAGAAGUGGGCACGCAGAAAUGGGGACCUCUUAAAGGAGCUAGCUGUGUUUAAGAAGCAGAGAACACGAGCUGGGAGUUGGAGGAAAGAUGGGUCGUUGAAGAAGAGAACAGGACAAGCAUAUCUCUUUUCCAGCUAUGUUUCUUUAGUUAAUGCUAGAAACAGCAAAGAACCGAUUUUCAAUAAAUUACAUGCAACAGGAAAUUUUCCUUUCCUCGCAUUAUAAUUGAACCAGCCCCACGGUAUCUUUGAAAAAAAGUUUGAAUUCUUUAAGGAGCUAUUUCUUGGCCUAUUGUCUUUGUGCAGUGAACUUUACAUCUUGCUAUUCAAUCACAACCUAUAUUCUGCUGGCUACCAGCAAGAUUAAUUUAAUCAUUGUAAUGCAAUUAUUAAUACUGUUUACCCAACGCUGGGUUUCAGGUUGGCUGUUAAGAAAUUAAACUCUCGCUGGGUGACCAGAGCUAGGCAGGGGUUUCUUCAUGUUGAAAUGAAACAGUCCUCUUUAUUUAGUCUCAGAGCUCUAGCUUUCGGCCACCAGCUCAAUUAGC
rnacentral:lncRNA from 1 species